rnacentral:rRNA from 1 species
UGUAAGCGUAUACCAAAGUUGUUGCAGUUAAAACGCUCGUAGUCGGAAUUUGGCAGUUCCGGAUGUGUGCACGUCGUGUGCGCACUUCGCGGGGAUUGCUUUUGUGGUCUUGCGUAGGAUGAGGCACUUUUAUUAGUGAACGUCCUCACGCAACCACUUUUUACUGUGAGAGAAUCAGAGUGCUCAAAGCAGGCAUUUGCCGUGAAUGUAUUAGCAUGGAAUAAUAGAAUAGGACUUGGUUCUAUUUUGUUGGUUUGUUGGGACUGAGUAAUGAUUAAGAGGGACAGUUGGGGGCAUUUGUAUUUCGGUGCUAGAGGUGAAAUUCUUAGAUUACCGAAAGACAAACUGCUGCGAAAGCGUCUGCCAAGGAUGUUUUCAUUGA